CGGGCAGGAUGUAUCUUGAAGGGUUUGUA
rnacentral:piRNA from 1 species